UACGUAGGUGGCAAGCGUUGUCCGGAUUUACUGGGCGUAAAGAGCGCGCAGGCGGUCGUUCAAGUCGCGUGUGAAAGCCCCCCGGCUCAACUGGGGAGGGUCACGCGAUACUGAUCGACUCGAAGGCAGGAGAGGGUAGUGGAAUUCCCGGUGUAGUGGUGAAAUGCGUAGAUAUGCGGAGGAACACCGAUGGCGAAGGCAAUCCCCUGGGCCUGCACUGACGCUCAUGCACGAAAGCGUGGGGAGCAAACAGG
rnacentral:rRNA from 1 species